rnacentral:lncRNA from 1 species
UUUAGGCGGAUGGAAUUCUGCGAAAGAGGUCUUGGAGUGAUCUCUUGUCAAUUGGGUAGGUGUGCAUAUCAAACUUUUUUCUUUCUAUCGCAUUGAAAUUACACUGUGUUUUCUAGUACUGAACGUGUCAACUACUGGAAUGAAAACUGCUGCUGCUAGAUUACUCCAUGCAGUUUGUGGUCGGAAUGAUGCUAGUUUCAAUUGCAUAGAAAAAUAGCUGCGCGCUAAUUUACUUUUUUGACGGAGAACUUCUGUUACUCCUCAGCCGUCCACUCAUCAUGCGUCGAUCGAUGCAAGUGAUGAUCAAAGGAGCACAUGUCUCUAAAAGACUGAGAGUGUUAACAGGGUAUUGCUACCUCUGUUAAUAAUCCAGAAAGAGUUCAGUUCCCUAAGCAUUGGUACACGAGAUUUCGAUGCAGCGUCGAAGGUUGAGGAGAUUUUAUGGCGCUAGGACCCAAAUAAAAUGGAUGUAAAAAAUACCACUGCCCUUGCCAUCAUCUGUCUACACUUAUUACAAUCUUGCACUUAUCUUCAGUUGUUAUACUGUUCAAUGUGCAUGCUUCCCUUUCAAAUCUAAUAGCGUUGGGUUUGAUUAAUUACAGCAACAUUAUUGAGGGCAGCAGGAAAACAAGAUAAUCUGGGCACCAGUUCGACCAAGUCCCUGUCACCAUGUGUAGUGUUGUCAAGGAAUUUGAAUGGCUCGACUUCAUUUCUGUGCAUCUUGCAAUAUUCAGAUUGAAGCACAAGUAGAAGUCUAUUUCUCAUAGAACCACAUCUUAUGCAUACUCUCGAUGUCCAGGUGGUGAAUCCAGGAUUUAGGGCAUCGUGGGCAUCGAGUUCAAAGGAGCUGUCAGUGUUGAUCAUGAUCAGAUUAACGUAAGUUUGAUACAAGAUCCAAGUACUGACCUGCAACCGCACCUCAGUUGAUAGAGCAACUUUUGCAUUUGUAACAAAACAGAGACAUUCAUUUGCUUUGCAAAUAUAAAGGCACCAGAACAAGGGAGUGGCAGCACUUUGUGGAAUUUCUAUUAUAUAUUUCUAUUAUUAUACAAAUCAUACUAUUCAACACUUCUCUUCCACUAGUGGGACUUAGUUUUCUAUUGAAAGAAGGUCUAAUAUAUUUCUAAAAACUAUAAACUUAUCUUUAGGAAGAGGUUUUGUAAAGAUGAUUGUUGCAUCUGCUUUAUGUGACAAUACUCCAAUCUAAUCUAUCAUUUCUCUAUACAUUGCUUGAUGAAAUGAUGUUUUUUAUUCCAAUGCUUUGUACAACUAUAGUGUGUUGGAU